UGUUAAAAAUUUCAUCCAUUUAUACUAUAAAAAAUUUGUGUAGGUGUGCUAUGUGUACCUCAUGUUAACAUAAAAGGACCAGCUUUUAACAAUAGAAAUAGAUGAAAUUUUUAACA
rfam:Gossypium raimondii Chr11_contig_603, whole genome shotgun sequence.